AUUGAACGCUGGCGGCAUGCCUUACACAUGCAAGUCGAACGGUAACAGGUUAAGCUGCCGAGUGGCGAACGGGUGAGUAAUGUAUCGGAACGUGCCCAGUCGUGGGGGAUAACUGCUCGAAAGAGCAGCUAAUACCGCAUACGACCUGAGGGUGAAAGCGGGGGCUCGCAAGUCCUCGCGCGAUUGGAGCGGCCGAUAUCAGAUUAGGUAGUUGGUGAGGUAAAGGCUCACCAAGCCGACGAUCUGUAGCUGGUCUGAGAGGACGACCAGCCACACUGGGACUGAGACACGGCCCAGACUCCUACGGGAGGCAGCAGUGGGGAAUUUUGGACAAUGGGCGCAAGCCUGAUCCAGCCAUGCCGCGUGCGGGAAGAAGGCCUUCGGGUUGUAAACCGCUUUUGUCAGGGAAGAAAAGGUUCUGGCUAAUACCUGGGACUCAUGACGGUACCUGAAGAAUAAGCACCGGCUAACUACGUG
rnacentral:rRNA from 1 species